rnacentral:lncRNA from 1 species
GCUAUUCAGUGGAGAGGGUGUGUGGUCCAAGUCUGGGUUUAACGAACACCCUCUGUGUUCUGUUAGACACGUAACUAUUUUUACACAAUAUAGCAGGGGGUGUAAAGCCAUAACACAUACGUUUUUCCAGCAGCAGACUAUGAUCGAUAACGUCAAAAGCCACACUGAAGUCUAACAAAGCAGCCCCCACAAUAUUUGUAUCAUCCAUUUCUCAUUGGGAGUGGAGACUGCUUUGCUGAGGCAGAAGAUGGCUCCCCUGGCGAACAAACUCCGGGCAACACCGGUCAGUCGGAUAAAGACAAACGAUAAGACAGAGAUGCAUCCAACAUGUGCGAACGCCGUCCACCCACCAGCGUAGAAAAGAAACCACACAUACAAACAGUAUUGAACAUUAUUUGCCGAUAUCAACUGGAACUGGACAUCUUUCAAGCUGAAGAUUGAGGCCAGCUUUUGUAUGCUAGCGUACACUCCUAAACAGUACUGGAUGAAAACACAGCAAGAAAACACUUGCUGGAAGAGUGUGGGACUGCUGUACCAAUUGUCCACAUUCAAAGUGUGUCCCUUGCCGAGAUGAGAAGCCAGCGUGGUCAUCACCGUGGAACCUGACACCCCAAGCCCCUCAUAAUGUUGGAUGUCAGUGGUGGAUCCUGUGUAAACUAUAAUGUCCUGGACAAAUCCUGUUUUCACGUCGCACAUAACAAAGCACUUGACCCCAAACCUGUGCCUUUUGGGUGGAAUAUAUUGACAGAACGCCAGCCUACCCUUCCAUAACAUCAGGGACUCAUCAAUGCAUAGCUCCUUGUAUGGCACAAAGACCCUACCAACUGCUAAUGUCAGGCUGGUAAGAACAUUUCGUAUUUUCGGUGUAACGGGUCAUUUAGGUUGGCAGUAGAAUUGUUGACGAAAUGCAGGCAUCGCAGCAGAAAUAGGAAGGGUCCUUGGGAAAAGAGGGUGGCAAAGAAGGGAGUUGCAAACAUAGGAUCUGUGCUCCAGUAUUCUCUUAGGGAGUUAUUCUUUACUAUUCCCAUGAGAAGGAUUGUCACCAGGAAGGUAUGCAAUUCACUAAUUGUGAUUGUCACCCUUUUAGCGAGUUUCCCCCUCCCUCCUGGCUCUCUCUUCUCCUGCAGCUCCCAAGACAUAGCGGUUGGUCUCCUCGAGUAUGUCUCCCACCAGCUCCUCUGUCAGAAACAGCUUGAAGCACUCUGCCUCAGAGGGAAAUGGCAAGGGGCUUUGCACUCCAGACUGGGACUCAUCAAAGCAAACAGCAGUGCCAGGAAAUGGCUGGUAGCCUUCCAGCUACCACAGACCUCCUGUACAUUAUCCACUGUCGGUCUGCCUCCAUCAACACCAGCAUCUUCAAAGGGACCUCAGGCUUCGUCAGGGGACAAGGGGUCCUCAGAUUCAGGGUUCUCAAUGGCUAGAAGGUUGGGGGGCAGCUCCUCGUUGUCACUGUCAGAAUCUGAUUCCUGACUUUGAUACUCAUUGUCAGAAUUGUAAAAAAUCUUUCCGCAUUUGUGAGUUGUCUCCUUUUGAAAGACAUUGCUGAUGCUACAGCUUAGCUCACUAGCUACAUACAUAAAGAACAACACUGAAUCGCUCAGGGUGGGAGUGAGGUUACAUAAUUGACUGCCGACACGCGCCACUUGUAUCGAUACAUCACUAUCAGAAAAUGUGUUGUGUGGUAAUUAUUUAUUUAUUUACUGUUUUAUUCACAUUUUCAAGUACUGGUGACAAAUCAUGCAUUCGGAUUCUUGCAUAGAUUGUAAUGGACACAUAUUAUGUGUGUAAAAUACUUUUUUGAAGGUUGUACUGAUUAUGAUGAGCUAAGCUAAUUCCAGCUAUGUGUGGAGCCAUGUUUGUUGAAAUACAAUGCAUUCUGGGUUUCAUAUAAACGUCUGUCGAACCAAGGAUGUUAUAACAAAAUGAGGUGAGGGAGGGUUCACUCACUUUUUGAGUAAACUUCUGGAAGUGAAUGAUGAGAUGUGAACGAUGGUAGACGACACACCCCCUUCAACAUGCAUACUAUAAACAGACCAAACUCAUCUUGUCUCCUCUUAUUAUCUUUGGUUGAUGAGAAAAAACAAACAUGGCGGUGUGCACAAACUACCCAUCGUUGGAUUACUUUCAAUUUCUAGAAAGUGUUUUACUCAAUUAUUUAGAUCAAUGGUGAGCUCACCCGUGAUGUGAUUAUUUUUAUAUACUAAUUGCUAUUAGCUAAUUCCUGCUGUAGUUUCUGUCAACCGAGAGUUAUGAAAAUAUGAACGCUUAUGUUACGUCAGUCUUUCCUCAGUUAGCGCUAGGAUAAAUGUAGCCUACAUUUUCUGGUUUGGAUGAUUGUGUUAUGUUGUAGCUACUGCUGUGAAUGUCUGAACAUUG